rnacentral:rRNA from 1 species
AUUGAACGCUGGCGGCAUGCCUUACACAUGCAAGUCGAACGGCAGCACGGGAGCAAUCCUGGUGGCGAGUGGCGAACGGGUGAGUAAUAUAUCGGAACGUGCCCAGUCGUGGGGAUAACGUAGCGAAAGCUACGCUAAUACCGCAUACGAUCUAUGGAUGAAAGCGGGGGAUCGCAAGACCUCGCGCGAUUGGAGCGGCCGAUAUCAGAUUAGGUAGUUGGUAAGGUAAAGGCUCACCAAGCCGACGAUCUGUAGCUGGUCUGAGAGGACGACCAGCCACACUGGGACUGAGACACGGCCCAGACUCCUACGGGAGGCAGCAGUGGGGAAUUUUGGACAAUGGGCGCAAGCCUGAUCCAGCAAAUGCCGCGUGCAGGAUGAAGGCC